UACAGAGGUCUCAAGCGUUGUUCGGAUUCAUUGGGCGUAAAGGGUGUGUAGGUGGCGCCGUAAGUCGGGUGUGAAAUCUCGGAGCUUAACUCCGAAACUGCAUUCGAUACUGCCGUGCUUGAGGACUGGAGAGGAGACUGGAAUUCUCGGUGUAGCAGUGAAAUGCGUAGAUAUCGAGAGGAACACCAGUGGCGAAGGCGAGUCCCUGGACAUCUCCUGACACUGAGGCACGAAAGCUAGGGGAGCAAACAGG
rnacentral:rRNA from 1 species